rnacentral:rRNA from 1 species
GACGAACGCUGGCGGCGUGCUUAACACAUGCAAGUCGAGCGGUAAGGCCCUUUCGGGGGUACACGAGCGGCGAACGGGUGAGUAACACGUGGGUGACCUGCCCUCAGCUCUGGGAUAAGCCCGGGAAACUGGGUCUAAUACUGGAUAUGACUCCACGGUGCAUGCCGUGGGGGUGGAAAGCCUUGUGCGGCUGAGGAUGGGCCCGCGGCCUAUCAGCUUGUUGGUGGGGUGAUGGCCUACCAAGGCGACGACGGGUAGCCGGCCUGAGAGGGCGACCGGCCGCACUGGGACUGAGACACGGCCCAGACUCCUACGGGAGGCAGCAGUGGGGAAUAUUGGACAAUGGGCGAAAGCCUGAUCCAGCGAUGCCGCGUGUGUGAAGAAGGCCUGC